GAAGGGUUUGAUUGACAGCCUAGCGCUGGGAGUACGAGUAAUCACUACUUCCUCUUGAAGAGAGCUGAGUCGGAGCAAGUCUGCAAGAUUGCAAACUCUUUGGCAUUUACAAAAUGUUUAUGCAUCGAAUAAGCGAAUAACAAGUUUUAAGUGAGUAUGGCUCUCUCACCAGAUGAUCUGAAAUCCAAGCUUGGGUCUUUAAAACGUGCCCCAGUCCCCAAACUCCCAAUAGCAGCAAAAGCAGUACAUGGAUGUGCUCUUCCUAUAGAAGGGAGUAACUUUGUAUUCCCUAAACUAAAAAAGACUGGGAAAAGGGAGAGCUUGAUUGAAUCAGACAUACCACCACAGAGCUCACAAAAUGGUGAAGGUGAUGAUGAAUUAAAAGCAGCUUUCAUUCGUCGUCGUGCACAUUUCGAAAAUGAGUCAAAGCCUGCUCUUGCUCCCAAACCAAAGCCGAAACCUGAGCUUGUAAAAAGAUUGAGUCAAGAGAAAAAGGAAAUUGAAGAAAAAGACACAAAUGGGAAUCUUUUGGCGGGAAAACCAAAACUAAGGCCACUUCCAACAUUACAAAGCAUAGGAAAGCCUCCUAGGAAACCACAAAAGACUGCAUCGCUAAAGGAAGUUUUAGAAAAAUUCAGUAAUCACAAUGUUAUCAUUGCACCAAAACCAAUGCCAAUUGAAACAGAUGUGAAUGGCAAUGACUUUCAACAAGAGGAUUAUGAUGACAUCAAUUCAGGUGUUGACAUGCUCCACAAAUCUUCUGAAGUCGAGCCCAUACAAGAAGAGAUGUAUGAUGAUGUAGACCAGGUUGCAGACCAAGUUAAAGCUGAGCUAGGCAUACAGGAAAACCAAGAAAGCAGUGAACCAAUUUCUGAGGAUUUCUAUGAUGACUUGGAAACCUUUACUUCAACUCUCCCUGCUGCAAAUGGUUUGGGUGCUAGUGCUGGUGAUGAAGACUUUGGUGAUGAUGUCUACCAGCCUGUUGAUUCAAUUGCUGGAGCAGGAGGAGAGGAAGUAUUUGGUGAAGAUGAAUAUGAAAUUCUCCCAAGUGAGGCCGCUGCACCACCACUACCUGACACCAGACCAGGAGCAUCCCCAACACAAAGUGAAGUGGAUGCUGAAGAAAGUAAGAAAAGGGAGAAAAAAGAUAAAGAAAAAGAGAAACGGGAAAGGGAAUUGCAAAGGAAAAAAGAAAGAGAUGAGCAAAAAAGAAAGAAAGAGGAAGAGAAACGAGAGCGUGAAGAGAAGAAAAGGAAAGAAGAGGAAAGAAAAAGGAGAGAAAAAGCAGACAAGGAACUUAAAAAAAUUCACAAGUUGAAAGGCAAUGAGCCAUACAUUAUUUCGAAAGCCAAGGAAGACUUCAAGGGUGCUGGAAAACAUGAGUUUCCAUGUAGCAAGGGCAACAUUCUUUACCGCAUCACUCAAGAGGGCUGUCCCAAUAACAAAUGGCUGAUCAAAUCACCUGAAGGGCAUUAUGGUUAUGUACCAGAAGACGUCAUAGCACUGGACAAUCAGGCAUCUGCUAUUGAGGAAAUGAGUGAUGGUGCGGAUGAAGAUCUCUAUGAGGUCGUGGAGACUUUUCAAGGUUCAGAGUUGUCUUCUUCUGCUAAUAACCCACCGCCUGCAACCUCAGGAAGUGAAGAUGAGGAAUUCUAUGACGAUGUUGGAUAAGUCUUAAAGCGUCUUGCUCGUUACAGACGAUUGAAAGUUUAUACAAAUUAGAUAUUUUCUUCCUAUUCUUAUAAAUAUAUUAGUCUUCUCUGGUAUUUACACACAUAAGAAAUACUUCAAGUGUGUGAAUUGUGCGUUUUUUUCUUGUACCAAGUCCAUUUUUUAUACUUAUCCAAGAAAGCAUAAGGUAAUAUGUAUGCUUUUAUUCUCUAGGCUUGCAAUUUGCAGGCUCGUUGCUUAGGUAAUUUCAAUUAAAGAUAUUUUUAUAUUAUAGGUAUUUUUAUACGUACCCAUUUUCUAGAAUCUUUCUUAUCUGAGACUAUUUAAUCGUCUCGUUUCUUCACUAAGGACAAUUUUCUGAUUUGUCGUAGCAAUCUUUCAAGCGUUCGAUCUUGAGAAAACUUAAAGCCCGGCGCACACGGUUCAAUCCUGAUGUCGUGGCCCCCUCGUAGGUCCAAUCGUGAUGUCGUGGCCGCCUCGUAGGUCAAAUGCAAAUCGUGAUGUCGUGGCCCCCUCGUAGGUCCAAUCGUGAUGAUGUCGUGGCCCCCUCGUAGGUCCAAUUCUGAUGUCGUGGCCCCCUCGAAGGUUCAAUCGUGAUGUCGUGGAUCCCUCGUAGGUCCAAUCGUGAUGAUGUCGUGGCCCCCUCGUAGGUCCAAUCGUGACGAUGUCGUGGCCCCCCUCGUAGGUCCAAUCGUGAUGUCGUGGCCCCCUCGUAGGUACAAACUUGACGUGGCCCCCUCAUAUCGUAGGUCCAGUCGUGAUGUCAUGCUCCCUCGUAGACCAAUCGUUAUGUUAGUCAUGGCCCCCUUGUAGACCCAGUCGUGGUGAUGUCGUGGCGCAAUGCAUGCACCAUUGCCAAUUUAAGUAUAUUUGAAAUCGUAGCAUGCAUUCAGGGGGCUAGUAGGGAAGAGGACUUUUAACAUUUUGGGGACUGGCGCGACCGAUGGGUUUGUAUAAGCAGGGAUGAUUGAGUGGAUUUCCACCCUCUUUUUGUGGAAAUUCAUGUAAAAUUCUUGUCCGAAAGUUAAGUCUCAAUCUUAUAUCCGGAUCCAUAAUCUACCUCCUUUAAUAAAAGUUUGUAUCCGCUCCUGGUAAGGAAAAAAAGGAAUACAGAGAUUGAUGUUAUGAGGCGCGCGACACUGGAAGGCAAAGCAGUUGUACUCGGGGAGCAUGCGCACUACUUAGCUCACGGUUACUCACGUGAUAAUGGCGCGAUCAUUCAAAAAACUUGCAGAUUUCG